UCCCUGGUGACUCAGACAGUAAAGACUCUGCCUGCAAUGCAGGAGACACAGGUUCAGUCCCUGUUUUGGGAU
rfam:TPA: Bos taurus chromosome 2, whole genome shotgun sequence.